CUUUUCAGCCACCGCCAGUCCUCCACAGUUCUAUCCUAUGGUUCCCUGACUGGGAACAGCAGACGAGAGACUCCUGGGCCCUCCCAGUAUGAGUCCCCUGCCGUUCAGGACCAGGACCAGACUGCAUCCUGCAUUAAUUCCUCACUUCUACACUCGGGAGCUGUAAACUUGUUGCUGCUGACUCACAAACAACACCAACCCAAUUUACCGCAGGAAAUGCCAGCACUGCCAGAUUCAUCGCUGACAGAUCUGCUUAAACUUGCUGCCGAAGACUGACGGGGUGCAGGGCCAACAACAGCCCCCUUUAUGGGUGUCUGUCUCAGGGUCCCAAGUUCCACUAAAAGUCUCAGGUAAGAUAUUCUCUACACUUGUGGACAUAGAGGCCAUAUGUACAGAGU
rnacentral:lncRNA from 1 species